CCAACCCGCAAAAACCUAUCAAUCCCCUCGACGACACAAAGCCGCCGUCCUCUCGUGCGAUCCGCUGCCGCCACCUCCGAUCCGCUCCUCCUCUCCCGAGGAUACGCAGCCGCAUCCGCCAACGCCGAUCCGGGCAGACGCGGCCGUCGUGGAUCAUGAGGAUCCAGAUGAUGGGGCGGCAGAGAUGGCCACGGAUCUGUUACGGCGACGACGGUGCCGGAUCCGCACCCGCAGCAUGCGGAUGGAGGCCGGCGACGAACCCUAGCCUAGCCGUCAGCAUCGGGAUCCACCCCCUGCUCUCGGUGCUGGGGCAAGGCAUAUGGGGGUGCUUGCUGCCGCGGUGGACCUCGACGCCGGCGACAUCUGCAGCAUCUCCCUUCCGUCGGGCUGCAGGACCUGUACGCCCAAGGUACGCCUCCUCCUCCUUCCUUUCCCCUCCCUACCAAGACUGCAGCUUGCUGAUGUGUCGAUUAGUGGUAGUGAUGGAUCUAGGAUGAGGAUAAACUGGUGAAUAAUCCAUCAUGGAUACGCAGUGUGAUUAAAUCUCACUAGCAGUCUACACAACACUUGAUGGGAGUUUGAAAAUAACAGUCCAUAAUAAAGGGCCGUGGUGUCUACUAUGCUUUUCAGAAAGGUGAGUGCAUUUGUGAAGCUUCCUGCAGAGUUUCACAUGAUGAGUAGGUAAAUGUGCUGGCAUUUACCAAGUAGUUAUAUAGGAGAGCACACAAGCAACAGACUACAUAGCUUGUGCUAAUUUCCAUGAUAAGUUUUAUCGCAUAUGAACAAGUUAUAUUGCCAGUUAAGUUAUUAAUAGAAAUUGAGUUGCUUAUCAUUGAGUAAAAGACAUUCCUUUAGAGUAUUUACAGUUUUAUACUAAUACUUUAUCAAGGUGAUAUGCUGAAGAUUUGUGAUUAUUACAGUAUGGCCUUUACAUUGCUUCUGUAUGAUCUGAACCUGUUGAGCUCAUCACAAAGACCAUAAAAAUUGGCUCUAUCCCUGAUGUCCAAUAAAAAAGGGGAACUAUGGCCUCAGAUCGAAAAAGUUUCUUUUCCUUUGUGAUUUUGCAGCGGGACUUGCUUAUGGAGACAUUCGCUCUGGGUCAAAGCUUAAGAGUACUGAUGCUUUUGACCAUUUAAUUAGUGUUUAGGGGGAGGAUUUCCACAGUAACCCUGGGCUGGUUAACCUAUUUGGAAUAGAAUUCCCUGAUUUGAAUAUCAAGCAUUCACAACUUCAGAAUACAUUGUCUCGAGGUACAAUCCCACUUGAUUCUCAAACAAUCACUAAUUCAUGAAUUGCAGCAGGGUGAACCCAAGAUGUCCGGAGCCUCUCUUGUGAAUCACAUUGCUUACAAUGAUUUCAUGAUUGAGAUCUCGGGAUUUAACAGUUGUAUUUUCUUGUUUCUUUUUUUUCUUGUGGAGGAGAACAAGAUGCAUCCUUUAAAGGUCGGAUCAAGCGCAUCGCCGAUACCACGAUCGCCGAUCCGCAGUGCUGCUCCUCUCGUGUGCGCCCUCGAUGGACGCCGUCCUAUUUUCCGCAGCCACCGCCAUUGGGCUCCGCGUCCACGCGCCCCUUCAAACCUACUGGAUGCAAUCUCGCAUUGCACUAUCGUCCGCACUGUCUGGCACCACCUAUGGACACAGAACGACGGAUCAAGGUUUAAUGACUUUGAUCAGGCAAGAUACAUUCUGCCCCGCUCAUCUCCCCGUGUUGCUGUUGGGCAGCAUCGACACCGGCCUCGAUCAGUGUCGGGGCAAUGGUGAACCAAUGAAGAAGCUUAAGGCGGCUCAGGUAGGGUGGCACACGAUAUUGACAUCGGCCACGACCAGCGUCGGAGGAUGGGUCAUUGGGACGGAAGGAGGAAGACAAAGAGGAGGAAGAAGACGAUGAUCACCAAAUUUUACCACCGAUAAAAAACAUGCGACCGAUGCAUAGUUGCUCUUAUAGUAUCUGCUAAAGAAAUUGAUAAAAGAUGAUAUAUAUUCGUAGGACUUCACUCAUGUCACUUAGUCACCAGUUUGAUUUAUUUUCCUGUAUUUUGCCCAGGCAACGCACGGGCAUUGUACUAGCAACCGGCUCCGGGCCCGGCCUACAUUAGUGGGUGUGUUAUAUAUUCGCAAGGUUGUGUCCAGUAUAAGACUUAAUUCCUUGUAACCAUAAAUGUGAGCUAGGAAGAAUAAAAUUUGUGCUC